AUACGGGGGGUGCAAGCGUUAUUCGGAUUUAUUGGGCGUAAAGAGCGCGUAGGCGGCUUGGUAAGUCAGAUGUGAAAGCCCGGGGCUCAACCCCGGAAGUGCAUUUGAAACUAUCAGGCUUGAGUAUGGGAGAGGGAAGUGGAAUUCCUGGUGUAGAGGUGAAAUUCGUAGAUAUCAGGAGGAACACCGGUGGCGAAGGCGACUUCCUGGACCAAUACUGACGCUGAGGCGCGAAGGCGUGGGGAGCGAACAGGAUUAGAAACCCCAGUAGUCC
rnacentral:rRNA from 1 species